rnacentral:tRNA from 1 species
CUGGGGAAGAGCUGUAGCUCAGUGGUAGAGCAUCAGCUUUGAAUGCAGAAGGUCGCAGGUUCAAUCCUCAGCAUCUCCAGG